GUGGCUCGUGCUGCGGCGCCGCCGCCACCGCAUCCGCCGGUGGAUCAACACGCGCCGCCGCCCUAUCCAACACCAGGUCCUGGAAUGCCACUGCAGUCCCCACUACAUCCCUGGGGUGGUUAUGUUAAUUUGUUACAGCAACCACAGUUUUCUGCACUGGGAGAAAAUUUCCAUUUUGUUGGACAUACUCAAAACUUUGCACCAAUAUUUUCAUCACCGUCACCAUCGGCACAAAGAGAACCCUCAUCUCAUCAAGGCACUGGUAGAGCUCCAUUGACAUUGAUGGUGACGACGAUGUUGUCGAGACAAAUCGGACAGCUAAGAGAAGGCAUUGGUCACAUGAAGAGGAAGUUCGAUUGGCGAGUGCUUGGCUGAACAAUUCUAAUGACUCAAUACAAGGGAAUGGCAAGAAGGGUGAUACAUUUUGGAAGGAUAUCACUGCAGAGUUUAACAGCAACGCACCGGCAGAUCGUCAAAGGGACACUAAUCAGCUGAAGAUUCACUGGUCACGCUUGAAGACAGUUAUCAAUGACUUCAAUGGAUGUUGGACUCAGGCGACUAGAGUGAAUAAGAGUGGAGCGUCUGAUGAUCAGUUGAUGGAUGAGGCACUUAAAUUGUUUGAAGUCCGAUUUAAGAAGCCUUUCACUCUAAUUCAUUGGUGGAGGACUCUCAAGAACCAACCCAAAUGGUGUGCCUAUGUUGCACAGCUGGAGAAAGAAAAGCAGCAAUCACAGGUUCCCAUAUCUGUUGAUGAUGACAUAGGCUCGGAGCGUCCAAUGGGGAGAGAUUCAGCCAAGGCACAACGCAAUGGCAAGCGCAAGGCUGAAGAGAUUACUGAAGGUCUUGCAAUCUUAGGAGAAAAUAUAAACAAGAUAGUUGCAUUGACGCAAGAACGUAAGCAGGCCACAGGUGCGCACCUUGAAAUCUCAAGGAUGAAACUCAAGACAGCAGAAAAGGAAAAGGAAGCAAAUAUGCUGUUAGUUUAUAAUUCAUUGCUGCAGCAAGACAUAAGCCAAAUGACAGAAGAAUCAAAGGCUAGAAGGGAUAAGAAUUUGGCGAUGAUGGAGAAGAAGCUAUUCAGUAACAAUGAUGAGGUUUAGUUUUAGAGGCAAUCUAACAUGCUUGUGUGAGCAUGCUAUCUACCAUUGUACUUUGUUUAACCAUCUAUGAUCUGUGUCAUGCUUGUGUGACCAUUGACGGUAUGCUUGUAUCUUGUUUAACCAUCAUUGAUAUUGGUCAUGCUUGUGUAAGCAUGCUAUC